UUGAAAUUUUGUUCUUUUUAGAAAAGUUUUUUUUUGUUUAACAUAUUAAAAUUAAUGAAACAUAUAAGAAUAUAAAUAUAUCUAUAUUAUGUAUGUACUUAAAAAAGAACAGUUGAUUUUUAACUAAAUAAGUUUUUCUUCAAAUUAAUUAUAGCAUAAAAGACGGGGACUAUAUGCAAACGAAGAGCCGCCUUCGCAGUCACAUACUUUAAAAUUGUACGCAGAUAUUUAAACAAAAUUAUUUUUAUGUAAAAAAUUAAUAAAUUCAAUGACAUUUAAUGUUGAGCCUAAACGUGUACAAUAAUAAUAUUCAUAAUUAUGUAAUUAGCAGGAAAAAUUUUAUUUACUAGACGACGGAUAAAUGAAGUGUAAAAAUGAUAUUAAUAAUGAGUAAACGGUUAAUAAAAAAAUAAAUAUGAACUAUUGUUUACAUAAUCAAAAAGUUUUCAAGGUUCAACAUUAGAUAAUGAACAACAAAAUGAUGUUUCAUUUGGAAGGAUUAGGAUUCAAAAGAGCUGUAAAUGGAAUUAUGCCACUAUAUUUAAUUGAAUUAUUUGAAAAACUUAGUUAUAAAGAACAAGUUGCCAAAAAUCGAUAUUUCACUGUGACAUAAUACCGUGAGUCAUUAAUUCGAUAUGAAGUGAGGGGAAGGAGAAAUGGCGAUUUAUUUGAAGGUAGAAGUUGCGUGGAGUAGGAGUGAAGAGAAUAAGAAGGAAAGAGGCCAGAGACAAGUUUGUGCUGGCAAUAUUGCGCAGAUGAGAUGUCGAAACUUUAGCUGUGAUACCCAAUAAUAUUGACAUUUUAAACAAAAUACAAAGUAAAUCUAAAAGUCAUGAACUAAGAUGAAUCUGUUUUACUUCUUAUUCUAACAUCUUACAAUUGAAUACAUCAACAGCUCAGCUCAGGAAAACCGUAUAUUCCAGUCAAGAAAUUACA